rnacentral:rRNA from 1 species
AACGAACGCUGGCGGCGCGCCUAACACAUGCAAGUCGAACGAGAAUCCGGGGCAACCCGGUAGUAAAGUGGCAAACGGGUGAGGAAUACAUGGGUAACCUACCCUUGAGAAGGGAAUAACCCGCCGAAAGGUGAGCUAAUACCCUAUACGCUAUCUUUUUUUCGAAAAGGAUAGGAAAGCCGGGUCGAGGACCUGGUACUCAAGGAGGGGCUCAUGUCCUAUCAGCUUGUUGGUGGGGUAACGGCCUACCAAGGCUACGACGGGUAGCUGGUCUGAGAGGAUGAUCAGCCACACUGGCACUGAGAUACGGGCCAGACUCCUACGGGAGCAACAGUGAGGAAUAUUGCGCAAUGGGCGAAAGCCUGACGCAGCGACGCCGCGUGGGGGAUGAAGGCCCUCGGGUCGUAAACUCCUGUCACAUGUUAUGAAACGCACAGGUCUACCUGUGCGCUGACAAAAGCAUGAGAGGAAGUCACGGCUAACUUCGUGCCAGCAGCCGCGGUAAAGUG